UUUGUGCCGUCUUUACCUCAAAACAGGAGAACUUUGAAUGACUUUGAAUAAGCUGCUGCGCAGAAAGAUUAACUGAUCCUUCAACAUCUAUAUUUUAUUAAUCUGCAUCUUCCAGUACAUCUGUUGGCUUUCCACAACUACAAGCUUAAAAACUCCACAAAGACUUUGGAUCACUCUCUGGACUGACUGAACAAGUUAGAGUACGGCAGAAAAACAGUGAAGGCACUGAGCUGCACUUGGCAGCUCCAAAAGCAAUGGCAGAGUGCACACCGGAUGUAAACCCCACCAACGUGAUCCAGAAUCCAGAGGCUGACAUAAAGGAGCUGAGUGAGGUUUCGGCUGAGUCUGCAUCAGCGGGAGCAGCCAAAGUCAGACCUGCAGACGCGGGGCUGAUUCGAAGUUUGUCCAAGUCAGACUCUGAUUUGUUGGCAUCGCCACUUGGAGAGGAGGAUGGAGGUCUGGUUGGCCGAAGUGGGUCUGUGUCUAACUGCAGCUCUGGGCAGCCAUCCAUGGAGCGCAUGCCUUCCUUUGCCUCUGAGUGGGAUGAGAUUGAGAAGAUCAUGAACUUAAUUGGAGCAGGAAUUGAAACAUCCAAAAACAAGCAGCCCAUACCAAGUUCAGAUGGGGCCUGUGGUAAAGCCCUGGACCAGCCGGUGGGAGAGUGGCUGGAGCACGUGGGGCUGCCGCAGUACGAGAGCAAGCUCCUGCUCAAUGGCUUUGAUGACCUACGAUUCAUGGGAAGUAACGUGAUGGAGGACCAGGAUCUCAGAGACAUCGGGAUCACUGAUCCAGGACAUCGAAAGAAAAUCCUCCACGCGGCACGCAACUUGCCCAAGGUAAAAGCACUGGGGUGUGAUGGCAGCACAUCUCUUGCCACUUGGUUGGAUGGCCUUGGUCUGCAUGAAUAUCUGCCCAACUUUCUUGCCAGCGGCUACCGCACACUGGAGUGUGUUAAGAACCUGUGGGAACUGGAGAUCAUCAAUGUUAUUAAGGUUGGUCCUCUGGGUCACAGGAAGAGGAUCAUUGCCUCUCUAGCAGAGAGACCCUAUGAAGAGGCUCCAUCUAAGUCCCGUCGUCUGUCCCCAAUUAUGUUCCAUGACCUCCUAUCCCAGACCACAUCUCCCCUGAGUCAGCUGGACCCCUACACCAGUCGCUCCAUGGACAUGCUCCUUCCCCUGACCGAGUCAGAUCGGAGGCGAAGAGGAGUCGACCAAGACUGUAGUGUAUCUCUGCGUUCUUAUAGCGAGAGGCCACGUUCUGUAGACAGACACAGCGACCGGCAUAAAGAGUCUCGUCUAAACCUCCGGCCGCCGAGCCACUCUGCUACCUAUGCCACGGUCUCCGCCUGGCAUCACCAGCCUGAGAAACUCAUUCUGGACUCCUGCGGGUACGAGGCAACAUAUCUAGGAUCAUUGAUAAUCAGGGAUCUACGAGGGAUUGAGUCCACACAAGAUGCCUGUGCAAAAAUUAGGAAAUCCAAGGACUCCAAAAAGGGUCCAGUUGUCAUACUGUCCAUUACCUAUAGAGGUGUUAAGUUCAUCGAUGCAGCCACAAAGACUAUAGUAGCAGAACAUGAGAUCAGGAACAUCUCAUGUGCCGCGCAAGACCCAGAUGACCUCUGCACAUUUGCAUACAUUACCAAGGAUCUGAAGAGCGGCCACCACUUCUGUCAUGUCUUCAGCACUGUGGAAGUGACACAGACCUACGAGAUCAUCCUAACGCUGGGACAGGCAUUUGAGGUGGCUUAUCAGAUGGCGAUUCAGUCCAGGGCGAGACACUACAUGCCUCCUUCAUCUCUGGGCUCUGAGGUCAUAGACACCAAAACCAGCCGUCCUGUAUCUCAGUCCUGGAGCAGCAUGCGAAGAUCAGCAGGUGCCCCUCUGCUCGAAUGCCGCUGCUGUCACUGUCACACGUGUACUACCCACCGUCCUUCCUUCCUCCCGUUGCACUCUGUUAGCCCUGGAGUCCAGAUCGACCCCCUGGAGAUGGACCCAGACAUGCAGUCCCUGGGCAGCACCACCUGGCUCUUGGACCAGCGGGACGCCAACAGGCGCCCUGUCAGCACCAAGUACGAGACCACCAUAUUCUGAGGCCGGACUCCCACAGCCGCCCCUCUGCACCCCCCUGUAUUUUCCUCUGCCCCUGCAUCCGGUUCUCUAUUUAUCUCUCACACUCACACAUAUAUACAUGUGAGCCCCGUGCCUUCUCACUGUGAUGGUAUAGCAUCCCUCAGGGCUGCCUACUCCUGCACCCUCCUUUGCCCUGCCCAGCGACCCAAACCAACCUCCUACCUGCCAUGACAAACACUCCUGCGGCUCCCCCAUGCCUCCCCAACACCCCCUGGCAGCCUCCGUCGCCUGUUGCUGCUACAGCCAAUGGCGGAGCUCUGGAACGGAUGAUCCUGGACUGAUCUCAUUUUACAGUGGCCCCGCUCUCUCAACCAAACUGCCUCUUCCUCCUCAUCCUCCUCUUCCUGACAACUUGCAUCUGCCUCCAAAUCCCCGAUAGCUCCCAGAGCCUGUCCUGUCUUACCAGGCAUCUACCACUGUGAAGCACUAUGAGGAGGCUGCUUUGAUAGCAUGGGAUGCAAGAUGGACAAUUAAUCAAUGAAAGACAAAACAGCAACAUGCAGCAAACAACUUGUGUUUUCUUUUUGUUGUUGUUGGGGUUUUUUCUACGCAUUUGUACAAUACUCAUAGAAAGACCACAAGGAAUCGGUCACGAAUCUAAUCACUGAUGUCUGGACUCAAAACGGACCAAAAACUGAGACCUCGUAAACUCACACAAAUACACACAUACACACCCAGAAGGACAAUAUCAAGGACAACAGCCUUACUUCAUUACGGUUAUCUAUAAUCAACUAAAAUCCCCUAACCUGCCCGAACACCACCACCCAACAACUGCACGCCUCCACCCUGCUUCUAAAAGACUUUAAAGGCAAAAAAGAAAAGAAAAAAAGGCAACACUUCUUAUUUCCUGCUGUAUUUAAACUGACUGUGACUAGCUGGGAUGACGUUGAUGCAGAGAUGGUACAGUUUUUGUCAGGAUGAGUCUUUGCUCUGGCCUUGUACUGCCCAGUGCCUCUCAGCAGUCGUGGUAGCACUGAGAGCCUGAAAAUCACAGCUUCUUCUUAUUGUCAGUUUAAACAAAGAAAAAAAAAUGAAAAGGAACACUGUGUUUAAAAACAUGGCACUAUCCCUUUUAAGACCUUGUUUUCUUUUUUUCUUAUGGUGCAAAUUUGACAUUCGUGGAUUUUUGUGAUACUUUUUGAUAGACGGGGCAUAACUGAAAUGUGGGUUGGGGGGAAUGAUUACGAAGGGAUUGUAAAGAAUCCCAACAUUACUACCAGAGGCAAAAAAAAAACCAUAAACAAAACGUAAACAAAGUUUAAAAAAGAAUAUUGGGUGUAUUAAUGAGCCUCUAGCACAAUCUGAUGCACAUAUCCCGUCAUAGCAUCUUAUUAUCAUGAUUACUUGAGUAGGUAUCCAUGCUGUUUCACUCCAGUUUAGAAUUAGGUACAGUACAUGCAAAGUGUGUUACUUUGAGGGGGUGAAAAGAUUUUAUUCCACUACAUUAAAAGAGCCAAAUCUAAAUGUUGCUCUGGUGUCGUGUUAAUGCGAGUGGAUUUGUAAUGCUGAGAGCGUGGUACCAUUUUUGUUUUUCUUAAAAGAUUUUCCUCCUGCACUGUGACUGAAAAAAAAAGGUCGUCGUGAAGUCGACACAUAUCUGUGGGUUCUCCCCUGUGUGCACUACCUGCUGUGCGUGCUGUAUGCCUUGUUUCUGUCUGUCCUCAUGGGAGUUUGGACUCUUACAUCACUGGCCACUGUCCUUGUUUUUUGUGUGCUGCGGGAGAAGUGAAGGAUUGAGCUCGUGGAGGCUGACUGAUUUUAUUUUUUUUAUUACGGUGUAACCGGCCUGCGUGCGGUACCGUGGCUGUGUCAUUGCCACUCUGUUUCUGACUGUUAACUGUUAGCUUCCACUGACGAUUGCAUGUUGGCAGUGUGUUUGUGUUUUCGUACCCUUUGAUGCACUUGGCCUGAGCAGUCUCUCUGUAUGUACCGUAGCAGUGUCUCGUCUCCUCUCACUCACCUGCCAUUCGCUUUUUACGUUCCCUCUCCCCGUCACACGCCAACUCAGCGCUUCACCCUCAUUUCGUUUUGCCAUCGUCGUCCAACAUUUUGUCACGUAUGUUCUCCCAUUCUGUGUGUCACCGAAACAACCUGCUCUAUUAUGGAUGCACAAUAUAAAAGCAUUACACUUAAAUGAGCAGCAAGCUAUUUAAAGCAAGUUUUGGUGGCAUGAUAUCGCUGUGCAUGUAACCGCUCUUUUUAACAUUGGUGUUUUCCUUGUGUAGCUCGCCCCAGCGUUCAAGUUUCCGGAUACCAAGCUGUGAGUUGAAGGGGAGCAGCCGAUGCGAGUGUGUUUGUGUGUGUUGAGUUAUAGCGGGCAGAGCAGUGUGAAAGAGCUAGAGAGAAACUGAGAGGUAAGCCUUAUGCAAUGUGCAGGGCCAAACCAGCGCUUACUCUGACAUUUAGAUCUCACUCCGUAUAUCCCCUGCUCCUCCACUGCCCCUGAGAUGAAUCCCAACACAGACUAAAAGGUAAACCGGUAGUCCCACAUCACUGGCUAAACAGGACCUGUGUAUCACUCCUGUCUUGAGAAAGGUCACUCAGAAAGGUCAAGUCUAUUUCCUGGCCUCCGUGACUUUCUGAUCAUGUUAUGUAGGUACUGUAAUGUUUAGAGCACUGUAGACUAUUAAUGAUAUAGACCAUUAAUGAGCAUUUCUAUUGAUUCAGGUCUAUUGAAAAUGUGGGAAUUAUUAUUAAAGGGUAACAAAAUGUAGAGGAAAAGAAAAAAACUGUACCAGCAUACAAUGCUUUGCCCAUGUUUCUGGACAGAGUAUGGUUUGUCAAUGAAAAUGUGAUACUGUUUCAAAUUUCAAAGCAAUAUUAUAUUAAUGACAUUAAAUAAUACAAAGACUAAAGAAUCCCUCUCACGUCUGUUGUCAGCAUUGAUUUCUUUUAUAUGGCUGAGUAGUUAAAAGCAGAAACAUUACACCAGCUGUUUAAAAUUUAAAGUGACAAAUACAACAAACAUGGUAAUUAAUGUACAAUUAUACUUUCACUCUUUCUCCUGCCAAAGAGAUUAGUGGGUGGUGCAACUUUUUAUUCUAAACAAACGAUUAGCCCCCAGUCUCUGUUUCUCUCAUGUCUCCAACUGCAUUCAAGUCAGAGCCAAGCAUCCAGGUGCCUGGUGAAAACACACACACACACACACACACACACACACACACACACACACACACACACACACACACACAUCAGUAUUCAACACAGUAAACGUAGCAUUUGCACAACAUGAAGAAACAUUUUUCUGUCAGGUAUAUGUUUAUCAGUUCUGUUGGGACGUAUAGCAAAGUCAAAGUUAAAUGAGAAUUGCCUGUCCUUUUUUUGCAUGUUUUUGCUAACCGUAUGAAUACAAUUCUUCAAAACUGGCAUUGUUUUAGAAAUGUUUUAUUUUAGCUACAUUCCAGCUAUGGGUGUACAUUUAAUUUAAAUAGAAAAUGAAAAGCUGACUCUUUAAAAUGCAUGUUGGGUCAUUCUGCAUAGCUCUCAAACCUAACAGCUCAGUCACACUACAGUAAAGCAGGAAAAAAAUUGCCCAUGCUUUGUGUUUGAAUCCAUUCGUUUAUUCAGUUUUUGCAACUGGAGACCGAUUGACUAUAGUUGUGGCGACCAAGUGGUCAACCAGAGGUUGAGCGUGCAGCACCCUAAACCUCUGGACAAGCACACUGGACUGCAAGACGACUGCAUUGGUCACCGAUAAUCCCCAGAAAGUCAAAUAAUUGCCAUUUAAUUUAUAAACGCAGACAGACUGGCAAACAAUCUGAGUUAGUCUACUCCGAUGAGUACAACCUGCCUGCUGUCCUGCGGCAUUUGAAAUUUUCACUCAUUUAUCACAUUUAAUUGCUGUAUUUUCACAAACGCAAUGUUACUGCGAACUUAACUCCAGUCAGCCACAAACUGAUAGCAGACUGGCUGUGCUGCAGUCAGAUUCCAACGUGAUGCAAUAAUUUUGGUCGUGUCAUGGUCUCCUACCACUGCUUUACCUAGUGUGACUGUAGCAUGAAGUAUUAGAAAGCAACAAAGCAACACUGGAAAAAGUUAAUAUAAACUUUAUCUUUACUGAAAUUGAUUGACUGAAUAUAAAAGGUGGAUGUAGAUAGGGGUGGAUGAAUCUGAUAUUUGGAUCUGCUACCAAUGGGUCCUUCUGUUCAAUUUAAAUCUAGAUUUUACUGAAUUAAUUUCAUUUCUGUGUUUCAUGAGUCAAAAGCAUGGAAGCUAACAUGGAGGAAGCUAAAAGCAAAGAAAUAGGAGUUUAUUUAUGACUUAUAAGUUAACUUAUUUGCUGAAAAGCUCAGACUCGGAUGCUUUCUCUAUCAGCUUCUCUCUCUUGUUUGCUCACUCUCGCUGGUCCUCACUCUUGUUAUGCUCAGUGUAACACUUGUUAAAAAGCUUUUAUUGCAUUACUACAGUAACAUACAGUAACAUGUUGUCAGCUCCAUGUGGUAUUAUUUCAUCUCAUGUUUCUGUUAUUGGCUUUACCCCACGCAUGCAUAAAAGGUGUGCUCACAGUGACAGCAGGUAAAGGAGAAGUUCAUUUGAAUUUCAUUUAUAUGGCGCCAAAUCACAGCAGUAGUAGCCUCGAGGCACUUU